UUACGGACCUCCGAAACGGCGGAAAAAUGCCCGCCAUUAUACAGCCCAUGAGACAAGUAAACAGCACUCCAGAUACGACGCCAGUGAAGCAUAUUACGGUUGAUUUGUGGAAGAUACAGCGCGACGUGCGACAGCAUUGCAUAACGGAGGAGGUCAGGAGGAUUUCCCGGGCACAGCCAACUCAGUCGUUCUCGAGCCUGCAGGCAACAAAAAC